rnacentral:rRNA from 1 species
AGAGUUUGAUCCUGGCUCAGGAUGAACGCUGGCGGCGUGCCUAAUACAUGCAAGUCGAGCGAACGGACGAGAAGCUUGCUUCUCUGAUGUUAGCGGCGGACGGGUGAGUAACACGUGGAUAACCUACCUAUAAGACUGGGAUAACUUCGGGAAACCGGAGCUAAUACCGGAUAAUAUUUUGAACCGCAUGGUUCAAAAGUGAAAGACGGUCUUGCUGUCACUUAUAGAUGGAUCCGCGCUGCAUUAGCUAGUUGGUAAGGUAACGGCUUACCAAGGCAACGAUGCAUAGCCGACCUGAGAGGGUGAUCGGCCACACUGGAACUGAGACACGGUCCAGACUCCUACGGGAGGCAGCAGUAGGGAAUCUUCCGCAAUGGGCGAAAGCCUGACGGAGCAACGCCGCGUGAGUGAUGAAGGUCUUCGGAUCGUAAAACUCUGUUAUUAGGGAAGAACAUAUGUGUAAGUAACUGUGCACAUCUUGACGGUACCUAAUCAGAAAGCCACGGCUAACUACGUGCCAGCAGCCGCGGUAAUACGUAGGUGGCAAGCGUUAUCCGGAAUUAUUGGGCGUAAAGCGCGCGUAGGCGGUUUUUUAAGUCUGAUGUGAAAGCCCACGGCUCAACCGUGGAGGGUCAUUGGAAACUGGAAAACUUGAGUGCAGAAGAGGAAAGUGGAAUUCCAUGUGUAGCGGUGAAAUGCGCAGAGAUAUGGAGGAACACCAGUGGCGAAGGCGACUUUCUGGUCUGUAACUGACGCUGAUGUGCGAAAGCGUGGGGAUCAAACAGGAUUAGAUACCCUGGUAGUCCACGCCGUAAACGAUGAGUGCUAAGUUUUAGGGGGUUUCCGCCCCUUAGUGCUGCAGCUAACGCAUUAAGCACUCCGCCUGGGGAGUACGACCGCAAGGUUGAAACUCAAAGGAAUUGACGGGGACCCGCACAAGCGGUGGAGCAUGUGGUUUAAUUCGAAGCAACGCGAAGAACCUUACCAAAUCUUGACAUCCUUUGACAACUCUAGAGAUAGAGCCUUCCCCUUCGGGGGACAAAGUGACAGGUGGUGCAUGGUUGUCGUCAGCUCGUGUCGUGAGAUGUUGGGUUAAGUCCCGCAACGAGCGCAACCCUUAAGCUUAGUUGCCAUCAUUAAGUUGGGCACUCUAAGUUGACUGCCGGUGACAAACCGGAGGAAGGUGGGGAUGACGUCAAAUCAUCAUGCCCCUUAUGAUUUGGGCUACACACGUGCUACAAUGGACAAUACAAAGGGCAGCGAAACCGCGAGGUCAAGCAAAUCCCAUAAAGUUGUUCUCAGUUCGGAUUGUAGUCUGCAACUCGACUACAUGAAGCUGGAAUCGCUAGUAAUCGUAGAUCAGCAUGCUACGGUGAAUACGUUCCCGGGUCUUGUACACACCGCCCGUCACACCACGAGAGUUUGUAACACCCGAAGCCGGUGGAGUAACCUUUUAGGAGCUAGCCGUCGAAGGUGGGACAAAUGAUUGGGGUGAAGUCGUAACAAGGUAGCCGUAUCGGAAGGUGCGGCUGGAUCACCU